GUGCGCCGCUGCUUUGUUCCAGGGACCGCCACGGACUCAGAGGACGAGGAGAAGGUAGCAGUGGACAUGGCCAUGAGGAGGCUGCUCUCAAGAACAUCCGAGAGCAGUUCCAAGGCCGAGAAAAGGAUGAGGCCCAGCAACUCAUGUUCCUGCAUGCCAUCCACCCUGCAUGUCUCGCUGCACAGCAGAGAGGGCAG